AGGACGAACGCUGGCGGCGCGCUUAACACAUGCAAGUCGAGCGAGAACCGGGACUUCGGUCCCGGGGACAGCGGCGAACGGGUGAGUAACACGUGGGUAAUCUGCCCUCGAUUCUGGGAUAGCCCGGGGAAACUCGGAUUAAUACCGGAUAGCCUUUCAAGCCUUCGGGCGUGAAAGAAAGGUAGCUUCGGCCUCCGAUCGAGGAUGAGCCCGCGGUGGAUUAGCUUGUUGGCGGGGUAAUGGCCCACCAAGGCGACGAUCCAUAGCUGGUCUGAGAGGACGAUCAGCCACACUGGGACUGAGACACGGCCCAGACUCCUACGGAGGCAGCAGUGGGGAAUCUUGCGCAAUGGGCGAAAGCCUGACGCAGCGACGCCGCGUGGGGGAAGAAGGCCUUAGGGUUGUAAACCUCUUUCGGUAGGGACGAAGCGUGAGUGACGGUACCUACUAAAGAAGCACCGGCCAACUACGUGCCAGCAGCCGC
rnacentral:rRNA from 1 species